rnacentral:rRNA from 1 species
UACGAAGGGGGCUAGCGUUGUUCGGAAUUACUGGGCGUAAAGCGUGCGCAGGCGGUUCGCCAAGUCAGGUGUGAAAUCCCCGGGCUUAACCUGGGAAUUGCGCUUGAAACUAGCGGGCUUGAGUGUGGCAGAGGGGGGUGGGAAUUCCACGUGUAGCAGUGAAAUGCGUAGAGAUGUGGAGGAACACCGAUGGCGAAGGCAGCCCCCUGGGUCAACACUGACGCUCAUGCACGAAAGCGUGGGGAGCAAACAGG